rnacentral:tRNA from 1 species
CCCCUUGUGGCGGAACAGGCAGACGCAGUGCACUCAAAAUGCACCGCCCUUUGGGCGUGUGAGUUCGACUCUCACCAAGGGGA